rnacentral:lncRNA from 1 species
GUGGGAGUUAUGCAAGUGAUCCUUUGAUCUGAGAUCACCAUGGUACCUUAUGUACGUAAAUUUAUAUUUUGGUUCACUUCCUAAUUUGAUUCUCUGAUCCUUGUAUGGAGUGUUCUAGAUAUGAUGAAGUAUGCAUGAAGAUUGUGAGUGGUCAAUAAGAGAUCGAUCACUCAUAAUAAGGGGAGCGAACAUUCUAUGUGAUCUCAUAGGUUGAUGAUUUUGGAAGUCUUUGGCCAAAAUAUGAUGAUAAUUAGAAAAGAGUUUCUAAUAUAUCAUCUACUGAAUCAUCACCUUCUGAUCAAGGUAUCUUUAAAUAAGUAAUUAGGCUUGACAUGAUUCUAUACCCAUAGUUCAUUUGAGAUAUUGUUUGACUGAAGGAUUGAAUUACAUGAUAACUUACCACCGAAAGGUAUUUUGGUAAUUUUUAUCAAAUUUUAUCUCUUUCGAGUAGUUAUGACACAUUGCUAGAUAUCAAUCUUGACUUAUAGACUCUUUAGAAUUAAAAAUAUUUAAUUUAAGAAUUAAUUAGAAAAAGUCCUAAUUAAUUGGGACACUUGAGCUGACCUAGUCUGAUCAAAUUAGGAUUAGGUCAAGAGUCUGUGUCCACUGCUAGCU